rnacentral:sRNA from 1 species
UUGACAGCCUGGGAGAAUAACCCCUGCACUAAUAAAUCCAGAAAAUGAAUAUUAUAUUAGGGUAAUACUGCAAGCUCCCUUAGACUAGCACAUCAGUGUGUCUCAGUCCUGACCUGAAGGGGACUACCUUCUGAGAUGGAAGAAGUUCAGUCUCAUUACACAUGCAUCUCUCAGCCUUU